rnacentral:rRNA from 1 species
GACGAACGCUGGCGGCGUGCUUAACACAUGCAAGUCGUACGGUAAGGCCCUUUAGGGGGUACACGAGUGGCGAACGGGUGAGUAACACGUGAGUAACCUGCCCACAACUUUGGGAUAACGCUGGGAAACUGGUGCUAAUACUGGAUAUGUGCUCCUGCUGCAUGGUGGGGGUUGGAAAGCUCCGGCGGUUGUGGAUGGACUCGCGGCCUAUCAGCUUGUUGGUGGGGUAGUGGCCUACCAAGGCGGCGACGGGUAGCCGGCCUGAGAGGGUGACCGGCCACAUUGGGACUGAGAUACGGCCCAGACGCCUACGGGAGGCAGCAGUGGGGAAUAUUGCACAAUGGGCGCAAGCCUGAUGCAGCAACGCCGCGUGCGGGAUGACGGCCUUCGGGUUGUAAACCGCUUUCAGCAGGGACGAAGCUUUUUGUGACGGUACCUGCAGAAGAAGCACCGGCUAACUACGUG